UUACUCCAUUUUUUUAAAUUAGUAAAAGGGCUAGAGACUAGAGAUCGACUUCUCGGUGAUUGAUAAGGAGGGCGGUUAGAUAUGCUAUAGAAAAGGGAAGACUAGAGAUCGGUAUCCUAAACUUUUCUUGAGAGCUUGAGAGCCUCUUCUCCAAUCUCCACAGCAUGAUUCCUUUCUGCUUAGUCUUAGUUUCUUAACCCCUUUAUCCCUUUCUACUUCUUCCGAAUUCCUACCCUUCCUAGAGCGUUCUUCCUCUCCCUUCCUUUUUGGUUCUGAAAGGAUCUCCCGCAUACACCCUUGGAUCAGGAGGUGAAUCCCUAUGAUCUCUAUUGCAGGCACUAUGGUUUUGAGGGUGAUCUCCACUUUCUUUCUGCAACUGCUAGAAUUCUCCGCCAUGGCCGAUUAGUUAUAGCUCACAGCGUCACCAACAGAAGCUUAUUUAAUCUCUGCUAUCAUCAAUUUGACAGAAAAUCGUUUGAAUUGGGAAUGUGAUCUAACUAGAAUUGGGAUUUCCAAUUUCCUCCUCUGUGAUGGUCUUCUUUGCAUCUUCUCCCCAGAGGCCUGGCUUUGCCUUCAAAAGCGCAUAAUGAAGCAUCUCCAGUAGGCUUUGUGUCUCUGCUAUCAAAACCAUCGGCUUUUGUUCAUUGAACACAUUGGAGGAAUGCACAGUAGUCCAACUACUGCUCUAAGCCAAGGUAUUGAGAGGAACAUGUGGAUGACGAAGGCUUUUUUGGAGCCAUGAAACUGAGAAACAACUCGGACAAACAAAGAAGCAUUUGGAAGGGAAACAAGUGGAGAGAACCCAACGAAGAUGAGUCCCAGAAGUCAAAGUUUGGAAGUACUUUUGGAAUUAUUGGAGCAGUGAUAGGUCUCUUCCUUCUUGGUUGCUUGCUCAUUCUUGUGUGGAAGAAUAGGUACCUGAGAUUUUAGUGGUUACUAUGAGUCACCACUACAAAGGAUGCACUCUUCUUUAGCCAGUCAUAAUGCUUUUUCAUUUUAACAAGGAAGUACCCCAAAGAUUCAAAUAUAAUCAAUGAAGAAUGUGGUAAAGACCCUUUCAGAGUUCUCCAACAACAUAGAGUUUGGGAAGCUUGGACUUGGAAAAGAUACGAGCAACAAAUAGCACUAAACUAGUAGUCUAUUAGUUGUUUCGUUUUUCUAGCAUACAACUUGAAUUGUUGAGGGAGUUGAGUUUUCUAAGAUAGGAUUUCUGAUGUAUCAAAUAUUAUGAUUCAGAUGAUGAAUGUAAUUUUUAUUUUAGAUU